rnacentral:rRNA from 1 species
UACGUAGGGUGCAAGCGUUGUCCGGAAUUAUUGGGCGUAAAGAGCUCGUAGGCGGUUCGUCGCGUCGGCUGUGAAAUCCCGAGGCUCAACCUCGGGUCUGCAGUCGAUACGGGCGGACUGGAGUUCGGCAGGGGAGACUGGAAUUCCUGGUGUAGCGGUGAAAUGCGCAGAUAUCAGGAGGAACACCUGUGGCGAAGGCGGGUCUCUGGGCCGAUACUGACGCUGAGGAGCGAAAGCGUGGGGAGCGAACAGG